rfam:Brassica oleracea var. oleracea cultivar TO1000 chromosome C8, whole genome shotgun sequence
GGCCUAUUAGCUCAGUUGGUUAGAGCGUCGUGCUAAUAACGCGAAGGUCACAGGUUCGAUCCCUGUGAAUGUUU